UCAAGCGACUAAGCGCAUACGGUGGAUGCCUUGGCAAUUGGAGGCGAUGAAAGACGUUGGAGCCUGCGAAAAGCUCUGGGAAGGUGGCAACCAACCUAUGAUCCAGAGAUGUCUGAAUGGGGAAACCCACCUAGUGUAAGCUAGGUAUCCUUUGACUGAAUACAUAGGUCAUUGGAGGCGAACCCGGGGAACUGAAACAUCUAAGUACCCGGAGGAAAAGAAAUCAACCGAGAUUCCCUUAGUAGCGGCGAGCGAAAGGGGAUCAGCCGAGCUUUUAAUUGAUAGUGGAACGCUCUGGGAAGUGCGACCAUAGUGGGUGAUAGUCCCGUACACGAAAUCAAUUUUAAGACGUAUUAAGUAGGUCGGCACACGUGAUAUGUUGACUGAAGAUAGGGGGACCAUCCUCUAAGGCUAAAUACUCCCAAUUGACCGAUAGUGAACCAGUACCGUGAGGGAAAGGCGAAAAGAACCCCUGUGAGGGGAGUGAAAUAGAACCUGAAACCGUAUGCGUACAAGCAGUGGGAGCAUACUUGUUAUGUGACUGCGUACCUUUUGUAUAAUGGGUCAGCGACUUAUUUUCAGUAGCAAGCUUAACCGUAUAGGGGAGGCGUAGGGAAACCGAGUCUUAAUAGGGCGUUUAGUUGCUGGGAAUAGACCCGAAACCGGGCGAUCUAGCCAUGGGCAGGUUGAAGGUUGAGUAACAUCAACUGGAGGACCGAACUCACGUAUGUUGAAAAAUGCGGAGAUGACCUGUGGCUCGGAGUGAAAGGCUAAUCAAGCCCGGAGAUAGCUGGUUCUCCUCGAAAUCUAUUUAGGUAGAGCCUCGCAUCUUACCCUCGGGGGUAGAGCACUGUUUCGGCUAGGGGGUCAUCCCGACUUACCAACCCGAUGCAAACUCCGAAUACCGAGGAGUACAAUUGCGGGAGACACACGGCGGGUGCUAACGUCCGUCGUGGAAAGGGAAACAACCCAGACCGCCAGCUAAGGUCCCAAAGUAUAGUUAAGUGGGAAACGAUGUGGGAAGGCUUAGACAGCUAGGAGGUUGGCUUAGAAGCAGCCACCCUUUAAAGAAAGCGUAAUAGCUCACUAGUCGAGUCGGCCCGCGCGGAAGAUUUAACGGGGCUAAACUAUACACCGAAGCUGCGGAUGCGUGUUUACACGCAUGGUAGAGGAGCGUUCUGUAAGCCUGCGAAGGUGAACUGAGAAGUUUGCUGGAGGUAUCAGAAGUGCGAAUGCUGACAUGAGUAACGAUAAGGGGAGUGAAAAACUUCCCCGCCGGAAGACCAAGGUUUCCUGCGCAACGCUAAUCGGCGCAGGGUUAGUCGGCCCCUAAGGUGAGGCAGAAAUGCGUAAUCGAUGGGAAACAGGUUAAUAUUCCUGUACUUCUAAUAAUUGCGAUGGGGGGACGGAGAAGGCUAGGCCAGCGCGGUGUUGGUUCGCGUUUAAGGUCGUAGGCUGGGGACUUAGGUAAAUCCGGGUCCCUAAGGCUGAGAACUGAUGACGAAGCGAAUCUCUGAUUCGUGAAGUGGUUGAUGCCAUGCUUCCAAGAAAAUCCUCUAAGCUUCAGAUUAUUAGAAACCGUACCCCAAACCGACACAGGUGGUCAGGUAGAGAAUACCAAGGCGCUUGAGAGAACUCGGGUGAAGGAACUAGGCAAAAUGGUACCGUAACUUCGGGAGAAGGUACGCCGCUGAUGGUGAAGGGCUUGCCCCGUAAGCUAUUGGUGGUCGAAGUGACCAGGUGGCUGCAACUGUUUAUUAAAAACAUAGCACUCUGCAAACACGUAAGUGGACGUAUAGGGUGUGACGCCUGCCCGGUGCCGGAAGGUUAAUUGAUGGGGUUAGCUUCGGCGAAGCUCUUGAUCGAAGCCCCGGUAAACGGCGGCCGUAACUAUAACGGUCCUAAGGUAGCGAAAUUCCUUGUCGGGUAAGUUCCGACCUGCACGAAUGGCGUAAUGAUGGCCACACUGUCUCCACCCGAGACUCAGUGAAAUUGAAAUCGCUGUUAAGAUGCAGUGUACCCGCGGCUAGACGGAAAGACCCCGUGAACCUUUACUAUAGCUUCACAGUGGACUUUGAUAUAACUUGUGUAGAAUAGCUGGGAGGCUUUGAAACCGUAUCGCUAGGUACGGUGGAGCCACCUUUGAAAUACCAGCCUGGUUAUCUUGAGGUUCUAACGCAGGUCCCUUAUCGGGAUCGCGGACAUUGUGUGGUGGGUAGUUUGACUGGGGCGGUCUCCUCCCAAAGUGUAACGGAGGAGCACUAAGGUGCGCUAAUCACGGUCGGACAUCGUGAGGUUAGUGUAAAGGCAUAAGCGCGCUUGACUGCGAGACUGACAAGUCGAGCAGGUACGAAAGUAGGUCUUAGUGAUCCGGUGGUUCUGUAUGGAAGGGCCAUCGCUCAACGGAUAAAAGGUACUCCGGGGAUAACAGGCUGAUUCCGCCCAAGAGUUCACAUCGACGGCGGAGUUUGGCACCUCGAUGUCGGCUCAUCACAUCCUGGGGCUGAAGCCGGUCCCAAGGGUAUGGCUGUUCGCCAUUUAAAGUGGUACGCGAGCUGGGUUUAGAACGUCGUGAGACAGUUCGGUCCCUAUCUGCCGUGGGCGUUGGAGAUUUGAGGAAAGCUGCUCCUAGUACGAGAGGACCGGAGUGGACGAACCUCUGGUGUUCGGGUUGUCAUGCCAAUGGCAUUGCCCGGUAGCUACGUUCGGACGGGAUAAACGCUGAAAGCAUCUAAGCGUGAAGCCUCUUCCAAGAUUAGAUCUCCCUGGGAACUUGAUUCCCCUAAAGAGCCGUUGAAGACUACGACGUUGAUAGGCUGGGUGUGUAAGCGUUGUAAGGCGUUGAGCUAACCAGUACUAAUUGCUCGUGAGGCUUGACCA
rnacentral:rRNA from 1 species